UGGGCUCGGACGGAAGUGAUGAGAGUGAAAAUACCCUGUGUGACAGACUUGAAGAAAUGGCAUCGGCAGGACAGUGAAUCCUGCUGAUUCACAAGAAGAGGAAUGUGUUCACUUCCUGACGCGUGCGACUCCAUGAAGAUCACUUCCAUCAGAUGCUGUUACGGCCAAUUUUGAAGUGAAGAUGAAGGACUUCAGUUCCUCUGAUUAAUGAGGUGGUGGUAAUGCAAUAAAGCAGAUCCUCU